UACGUAGGGGGCGAGCGUUGUUCGGAAUUACUGGGCGUAAAGCGCGUGUAGGCGGCUAAGUAAGUCGGGCGUGAAAUCCCACGGCUCAACCGUGGAAGUGCACUCGAAACUGCAUAGCUAGAGUCCUGGAGAGGAAGGUGGAAUGCUUGGUGUAGAGGUGAAAUUCGUAGAUAUCAAGCGGAACACCGGUGGCGAAGGCGGCCUUCUGGACAGUGACUGACGCUGAGACGCGAAAGCGUGGGGAGCAAACAGG
rnacentral:rRNA from 1 species